UUGCACUAGAAUUAGAAUCUAAUCAAACUAAAAUAACCCCCUCUAACAUAAUUUUAACAAUA
rnacentral:tRNA from 1 species